CGGGACGUAGCGAAGCCUGGUAUCGCGCACCCUUGGGGUGGGUGAGGUCGCUGGUUCGAAUCCAGUCGUCCCGACCA
rnacentral:tRNA from 1 species